GUAGAGGUAAAUGAAAAGCUGCAAUUAAGUUAGGCAUGUUGCAAGUGGCAAACAUUGCAUUUAUGAAAUUUCAAAGAGAACAUAGCUUUGACAUGGAUGAUCAAGAAAAUAUGUAUUCUUCUGAACCUUCUUUGGAGGAACAACCCACUGGUAAAAGAUGGGAUCCUCUCGGAGCACCAAAUGAUCAAGAUAAUGAAUCAAAUGCAAUGGAGAAAUUUGAAUACCACUGCUGUGAUCAUUCUUCAGCUGAAAAGAUACAAAGCUUGGAAGAAGAACAAGAACUUCUCAAUUCGUCCCUGUUUGCCUUGACCACCCAUUUUGCACAGGUACAGUUUCGUCUGAAGCAAGUUGUGAAUUCUCCACCUGAAGAUAGGGAAGAACUACUCAAAUCCCUAGAAGAAUUUGCCUUUCGUGGUAUUCCAGAUGUUGGAAUGGUUCAGGAAAGGAUGGAUGAAGCAAGUCUUGCUGAGGCUGUCCGGCUGAGACGCACCCAACAAAGAGAAUUGAUCGAUAGACUCAAAUCUCAGCUUAGGGAAUUGGAACAAUAUGCAUUUGAAAAUGGGGAUUCGGCUGUUCCACAGGAUGUUAUAUUAGAAAGACAAAGAGUCAUUUUGAAUGAACUCAAAACAAGAAUGAAUCUUGAAAUCGACGAGCAGAAAUACCUUCAAAUGACACCUGCUGAUGUUAAAGAACAAAUUAAUCUUGCAUUAGAUCAACUGGUUAGUCCAUUAAGAGUUAAAGAACAUCUUGUUGCACAACUGAAGACACAAGUAGCUGACUUGGAACGUUUCAUAAGCUACUUACAAACUGACACAAAGCAAGCGAAAUGUUCAUGUGGUUGCUCAUAUCAUUCUGUUAAGAAACCCUUCAGUACUGACACUAUAGGUCUCAUACAGAGAACUGCAACUUUGCUUCAAAUGUUUGCAAUACUUCAACUGGGAUGUGGACCCCAGAAAUUCAGAAAGAAUGAUUUGAAGAAUACUAAAGUGAAUCAUUAUGGUGAUCUUCGAGCCAAACUCGAGAUGGCAAUAUCCCAUGUUCGCGAAUUAGUUGUGGAAAAUGAGAAACAAAAACAUGCCCAAGAGGAGUACAGCAGUGAUUCAGAAACAGGAGGAGUCAAGUGUAAUGUCCAACUGACAAGAGCUGUGCGAAAAUAUUUAGCAACCAGUAUUCGCGAUUUGAUGCAGCAUGGUUCCACAGUUUCUAAUAAUACAUCUAGUAUCGUUCCAUUCAUUGGUUGUUUUCCCAGGAGGACUUCAACAGACCAGACACCGAUUCAUGCGUGGGAAUUAAUACUCCAGUAUUAUCAUCUGAAAAAUGGCGAAAAUUUCAACUCAACCCCUGCAAGAAAACUAUCUCAAAGUUUUAAUUUAGAUAUUGCUGGAUCAUCUCCAAUAAAUAGCAAGCAGACAAUGCUGAGUGCUAUUGGAGCUAUAAUUUCUACACAUUCUAGGUACAAGAGGAGCAACGAUUCUCAUUUUAAAGCUUUCAUCUGUGCUGGACUGAAUGCCAACAAGUUAGUGUCAUGGUUAAAUCACUUUUUUCAAUGUAAACCAUUGAUAAAGGCACACUACCAGCCUUGGAGUUACGUAGCAAAAACAGUUUGCAGACAUGCAUAAAACCUUGUCAGCUUCUGUGACUAAAAUUAUAUGAAGAGAAUCUGCAAAAUCCAACAAACUGUGGAUUGAAUUUCAUUAAGGAUUUAAAGACAGCUUGAAUAGCUUGGAUUCUUUAACUUGCUACAAGUUUGACCUUCCUGUGGAUUUGGCUGUACAACAGUUUCAGAAUAUCAAAGAUGUUUUUACUUGAAUUGGUAGUCAUUCCCGAGUAUAUUUCUAUUUUGUUACUGUGAUACAGAAUGAGUUAUGCUGUGUAGAUAAUUUUUGUUGAAUAGAGUUGGUUUGUGAGUCAUAUCAUCCAUGUUGAUUUCUUUAAUAAAAUAUUCUGUUCGUC